rnacentral:lncRNA from 1 species
UCUCUGUCUUUUUGGUAUUAUUUUUUAUUUGCAUGAGAAACUAAAACAGUAACACAAAGGGAACAACAAGACAUGAACACAUAAAGCAGAAUGGAAAUGGUUCACAUUACAAACAUAUUUGUCACAGAGACAAAGCUAUCACAGAGACUGAAAAUUAAACACACACAAAGUUAACUAGUACUGGAAGUUAACUAGUACAGGGGACUAGUACACAAGGUGAACACACAUACUCCCUCCGUUCCAAAAUAGAUGACUCAACUUUGUACUAACGUUAGUACAAAGUUGAGUCAUCUAUUUUGGAACGGAGGGAGUAUAUGCUAGCAAACCGGUAAUUCACACAUCAAAUCAAACAUACCAAAUAUUAUCCAAACAACUAGACAUUAACUAGUCAGAGCGCAUAAUAAAAUGCACUAUGUUUCACAAGUACGAAACUGAACAAUUGUCAGAUUGCAAGCUCUUAUCAAAUCUGAAUAUUACAUGAACUAAACAUCUCAAUUCUGAAUAUUCCAAAGUACUGAACAAUAAACUUCUCAAGAUUACAGAAAUUUGAGAUCGGAGAGAGAGAGAGAAGCAGCAGCAGCAGCAAGUUGGAGGAGAGCAGCAGCAAUUUUCUGGUUUAGAGAAAAUUAGGAGGAGGAGCGGAGCAAGAGAAGGAGGAGGCAGCAGCAGGAAGUUGGAGAAGGGAGAAGCAGCGGUAGGAAGAGAAGAAGCAGAGGUAGCAGCAGUUUAGUGGAGGAAGCAGAGCAGCAGCAGAUCGGCGCAAGAAGAAGAGCAGCAGCAGGGGGGACGUGAGAGGAAGGAGUAGCAGCAAGGAGAGGGAGAAGAAGAAGCAGAGGCGUGGGGAGGUUAGAGAGAAAGCAGCAGCAGAAUUUGGGGGGAGAAGAAAGGUGGAGGAGCAGCAGCAGUUCGGGCGUGGGGAGGAGAAGAGCAUCGGGGGCGCGAGAUGGUGGAUGAUGCAGCGGCGGUUGGUGGAGAUGGCACGGUCGAGCUAGUGGAUGGAUGGGAGGUGGAGGCGCACCAUGACACCGGCCUGGCCGUGGCGGCGGCCGGAGUUGGAGAAGGAGGGGUGAGAGAGAGAGAGAGAGAUGUGCCAGGCCCGAAGGGAAUUGAGUAUGCGCUAGGGAUUUUGAUCCCCUCCCCUGUUCUGCCACUUUACGAUUUGGCCCUGCUAUUUCUCUUCUUUCUUCCCAAGUAGGUCCUGCCAUCUAUAGCUUGGCCCCUUGAUUACUUCAAUUCUUCUCGCUCAAGUCCCUUUCUUCACUUCUUUCCUGCUGUUCUCUCUUCUCAAUAGCCAAUUUGUCCGAAUCUUGAAGUUUAUAGUGCCUUUGCGCACUUUUCUGCAAAAUAAUCAAAUGACAAGUAAAUGAUCUUUUAUAUGAUUUUCAUUCAAAUAUAUCAUAGUUCAUAACAAGAAUGGAUCGUUGGAUCACAAUAAAUGGUGUGUUUGUGUGCCAAAAUGUGAAUAGGAAAUGUACUUAUCAAGUUCCCCCACACUUAAAUCUUUACUUGUCCUCAAGUAAAGGCAUUUGACAAGAGCAAGGUAGUGAACAGCGAACUGACUAGAGAAUGUCCUAGUGAAGUAGAUCUCCAAACAAUGCAUGCUUUGAACUUUGCUAGUGAAAAUCAAUGGUUAAGAGUGCUACAAAGCAGUAGGAUACUAAUAAGCAUGACCAUUUUAAACUUUUACAAUGAUAAAAUAGGAUCAACAAGUUUAAAUGAUGACUGUGCCAAAUGGUUCCUAAAGAGAGCAUGAUCCCGAGAACAAAAAGAACAUAAACUUGUGAUCAGAUCACUUAUUUACAGAAAUAAAGCAAUGAUAAUAUUUUAUCGAUCUCACUAAAGGAACAUACCACCGAUCCCGAGAACAUGGUAUACACCCGGCUCGACCAAUUAUUAGUUUUUUUUUGUUUGUCUCCCCAAAGGAACAUACCACCGAUCCCGAGAACAUGGUAUACACCUGGUUCGACAAUUACAUUUUUUUAUUUUUAGUUACUGCCCAAGUUAACCCGAUUUCACAUGCCACCGAUCCAGGGAACAUGACAUGCUACUGUAGGUAUUCAGACUUAUUUAUUCAUUAUUACUUUUUUUAAAUGAACAACGCAUAAGCACAAAAAUAGGAAUCAUCACUUCUCCAUGUCUGGUUCACAUGCUACCGUUCCAGGGAACAUAGCAUGCUAAUCCAUAGUUGUUAGGUGAUUGCUCUCAAUGGGAACACAUUAGGCACAAACUCAACAUCUGACACUUAAUGAUCUAGGUGUAUCGAGGUAAAAGCAGAAAAUGAUUAAGUUUUCUAGUGUACUAGGGAUUUGAGCACUCAAAACUAAUAGCUUUCACUACUUUCAGCGAAGCAAACAGGUUGUAGAUCACUAGUUUACAAGGCAUUCAACAAUCAGUUCGCAUAUUCUCAUCAAGCACCAUAUGUCAAAUAAAAUUCAGUGGGGCAACAUUUAAGACAUGGCUUAAGAAACCCAAAUAACAUUUGAUUUCAGCAUUUAUCAAUGGAUGAUAUACUCGGAAUGGGUCAUGAAACAGCUCACCGAGCACUAUGAAGUAGCACUUGCUUGAUCACUCUCUAAGUUGCUGCUCCUCUCCUUUUGCUUCUCCAUCCUCAUGCCUGCUCCAGCUUCGCUCUUCCUCAUGUGUGCUCUUUGCUUCUCCUCAUCACCAUGCCGUGAAUCCACCAGGAUCCCAUGGGAUGUCAUCUCGAACUUGGUCGGCCCGUAAUGAAUGGUGCACAAGCGUAAACCUGAAAGAACACUCAACAAACAAGCCAAUAUAAAUGAUAGGGACAAUGCCCUCUAAGUCAUCAAUAGAGUAUCCUAUCAGAUAAGCAUAUCUAUUGAGCAUAUGAUAAAUAGAUAUCACCAAUAAAUCGCAUGGUGCAUAGGCAGUAUCCAUGAUAUGGCAUAUCUUGUCGAGAAAGCUGAGAUCAUACCUGAGAUAGUUAGGAAGAAGCUUCAGGACUACCUCCAUUGAAGAUACCAAGUGAGGUGUGGUAGUAGAAAUUUCCACCGGACUCGUGUCAACAAGUGAAAUAGAGCUUGACUCCUUGACAUCUGAAUCCACCUCACCAUAAUCAACCAUGAAGCUCUCCAUCUCAGGCUCAAGUGUUGAAGAAUCAAUGCGGCUGACAUCAUCAAAGGCGAACUUCUCCAUAUCUGGCUCUAGCAGCACAUGAUCAAUAUCAACUAAAGGUGACUCCUCAAUAUCAAAAGCAACGAACUGCAGCUCUGGCUCAUCCAUGGAAGAAUCAUCACAAUGCAAAACUGAAUCUCCAACACUAAUAUCCAGAUGAUCUGUAGCAUGUGUGUCAACUAGAAUGGUGUCAUCAUCGUCAAAUAUAAUCCAUGCAAGCUCAACCUUGUCACACUGAGAUAGAGGCUCAGGCUUUUGUGUAAGAAUUGGUGGUUGAGGUGUAGUGAUUUGUUGCAAGCAAACCAAUGAAUCAGACGUGGGCUUCUUAUUGUACCACUGAAGUUGGUGGAAAGCUAUGCUCUCAAUCAGCAGAAAAGCUUCAUCAAGUGUCUUGUUUGUAAUAGCUCCACCCGCUGCCAUAUCGACGUAAGCUCGAGUGUCCGAAGUCAAUCCUCUAUAGAAUAUCUGCAGCUCUAACCAUCUCUCGAGCCCAUGAUUAGGACAUCUCCUGAAUAAGGCUUUGUAUCUCUCCCAAGCAUCAUACAAGCUCUCGCCUUCACGCUGAACGAAAUUGAAGAUCUCAUCUCGAAUUGCGGACUGCUUGUGUAGUGGGAAAUAUUUAUCCAAGAAAGCUCGGGAUAUCUCAUUCCAACUGUAUGACCUUGAUGGCAAGGAUCGAUACCAAGCACGAGCAUCAUCACGGAGGGAGAAUGUGAACAACCUGCACAUGAUUGCAUCUUGAGGAACUCUAUGGUACUUGACUGUAUCUGAAUACUCCAUGACUCGGUGUAAGUGCUCAUAGGGAUCAUCAGUAGGCAGUCCUCCAAACUGUUGUUGUUGAACCAAAGCAAUAAGACCAGGCUUCAGCUCAAAAUUCUCUACCUCAAUAGUUGGCCAAACUGGUCCUGUGAUAUAACAUUGACUACUUGGCAUCCAAAGAUCAUGAAGCAAUGCCAUAUCUUAACCAAGUGUAACUAUAGAACAACCUGCAAAGAUUUAUGAUUCCCUACACACACUCAUAAACAGUAAACAUUAGUUAGAAGGUUAGUAUCCUAAUAAGCCGAAGCAACAAUGGGGGAAAAUAGAAGAAAAAAACACUGAAGAUGAAAUACACGACGAAUUGAACAAGGAACUAAAGUAAACCUAGUCUAUAGCCUAACACAAUCGCUCGACGUAAGUCCCUGGCAACGGCGCCAAAUUGAUCAAUUAAAAGUACAGCGGGAUAUUUCGCCCGAACUGCGAGUGUCGUGUUCUCCACAGGGACUAGACGAUCAGCAAUGAUGCUUGACUAAAGCUAGGCUAGACAAUUUAAGUGACGAUUACUGGGAAAAUAAACCUAAAGUAUCUAAGAUCAUUUCGGAAAAUCGGCGACAAAGUAAACGAAAAGAAGCAAAGGGAGAUUCAGAUUAUACUCUCUGUCUUUUUGAUAUUAUUUUUUAUUUGCAUGAGAAACUAAAACAGUAACACAAAGGGAACAACAGGACAUGGACACAUAAAGCAGAAUGGAAAUGGUUCACAUUACAAACAUAUUUGUCACAGAGACAAAGCUAUCACAGAGACUGAAAAUUAAACACACACAAAGUUAACUAGUACUGGAAGUUAACUAGUACAGGGGACUAGUACACAAGGUGAACACACAUAUAUGCUAGCAGACCGGUAAUUCACACAUCAAUCAAACAUACCAAAUAUUAUCCAAACAACUAGACAUUAACUAGUCAGAGCGCAUAAUAAAAUGCACUAUGUUUCACAAGUACGAAACUGAACAAUUGUCAGAUUGCAAGCUCUUAUCAAAUCUGAAUAUUACAUGAACUAAACAUCUCAAUUCUGAAUAUUCCAAAGUACUGAACAAUAAACUUCUCAAGAUUACAGAAAUUUGAGAUCGGAGAGAGAGAGAGAGAAGCAGCAGCAACAGCAAGUUGGAGGAGAGCAGCAGCAGUUUUCUGGUUUAGAGAAAAUUAGGAGGAGGAGCGGAGCAAGAGAAGAAGGAGGCAGUAGCAGGAAGUUGGAGAAGGGAGAAGCAGCAAUAGGAAGAGAAGAAGCAGAGGUAGCAGCAGUUUAGUGGAGGAAGCAGAGCAGCAGCAGAUCGGCGCAAGAAGAAGAGCAGCAGUAGGGGGACGUGAGAGGAAGGAGUAGCAGCAAGGAGAGGGAGAAGAAGAAGCAGAGGCGUGGGGAGGUUAGAGAGAAAGCAGCAGCAGAAUUUGGGGGGAGAAGAAAGGUGGAGGAGCAGUAGCAGUUCGGACGUGGGGAGGAGAAGAGCAUCGGGGGCGCGAGAUGGUGGAUGAUGCAGCGGCAACUGGUGGAGAUGGCACGGUGGAGCUAGUGGAUGGAUGGGAGGUGGAGGCGCACCACGACGCCGUCCUGGCCGUGGCGGCGGCCGGAGUUGGAGAAGGAGGGGUGAGAGAGAGAGAGAUGUGCCAGGCCCGAAGGGUAUUGAGUCUGCGUUAGGGAUUUUGAUGGUCG